UACAGGGGGGGCAAGCGUUGUUCGGAAUUACUGGGCGUAAAGGGUUCGUAGGUGGCCAACUAAGUCAGACGUGAAAUCCCUCAGCUUAACUGGGGAACUGCGUCUGAUACUGGAUGGCUUGAGUGUAGGAGAGGAAUGCGGAAUUCCAGGUGUAGCGGUGAGAUGCGUAGAUAUCUGGAGGAACACCGGUGGCGAAGGCGGCAUUCUGGACUACAACUGACACUGAGGAACGAAAGCCAGGGGAGCAAACGGG
rnacentral:rRNA from 1 species